UCAUCGUCAAUCCCCCUCUCUCUCCAACUCUCCUUUGCUGCCGCAACUAUCAAUCUUCCAGAACCAGUGAAAACCAUUUGCGCUUUUGCCUAUGUGCAUCCAUUUCGGUUUAGCCUUCUACAUGAAACCCAUUUUUGUUUAGCCCUCCAAUUUCAUCGUUCUUCUUCAUUCAUCUACCCAAAUCUCACAACCAGAUCUAGAUUUUUGUUGUUGUUGAAAUCGAUCACUAGUGGAAUAAGAAUAGCCUUGCUGCAGAAUGCAAAUUUUUGAGUGUGAGAGGAGAGAUGGAGAGAGAGAGAGAGAGAGAAGGCCAUGGAUUUUGGGUAGCAAGGUAAAGAAGAAGGGUUGAAACCCCAAAGCUGGUGUCCAAAUGGUUGGUGGAUCCUAUGCUUUGCGUUGGUUUCAUCGCGUCGAAGUACCGAAGGCGAAGAGUCGAUGAUGGUGCACGCGGGGAUGCUUAAUCUCUUCCGGUCUUUGUUCCACCCAUUCCAAAACCAGGUUUUGGUGCUAAUAUUUUUGAAAAGCUAUUGAACACGAGGAAGCCAUCAAAUCUUAAAGAUGCAGGGUGUCGUUCGACGAUUUCUGGCUUGAGUUUUUUGCUUUUGGGAUGUAAUUUUUUUAAUUUUUGGUUCGAUUUCUGGGUUUAAUCGACGAUUUCUGUUCUUGAUUUUUGUGAUCUUCAAUAUUUUGUUCUUGAAGAAGAGGGGAAAAAUGUCAAAGAAUUUUUACUGUUGUUUGCAUUACUGUUUAUUUAGAUCUUCUUUCAGUGCC